GUACACGCUGUGACUAGCAUAUCAAUAAGCGGAGGAAAAGAAACUAACAAGGAUUCCCCUAGUAACGGCGAGUGAAGCGGGAAGAGCUCAAAUUUGAAAUCUUAAAGGGUUUCCCUUUACGAAUUGUAGUUUAAAGAAGUGUUUUCUGUUGAGGUUUUGGUAAAAGUUCUUUGGAAUAGGACAUCAUAGAGGGUGAGAAUCCCGUAUUUGACCUUUACUUUCAACUUUGUGAUACACUUUCAAAGAGUCGGAUUGUUUGGGGAUGCAGUCCAAAAUGGGUGGUAAAUUUCAUCUAAAGCUAAAUAUUGGCGAGAGACCGAUAGCGAACAAGUACCGUGAGGGAAAGAUGAAAGAACUUUGAAAAGAGAGUUAAACAGUCACGUGAAAUUGUCAAAAGGGAAGCGUUUGACACCAGUGUUGUUUUUCUGAAAAUCAAUUAAAGAACUGUUUAUGCUAAGUUGUUUAGACUUUAUCAGCUAUCUGUUUAGUUUUGAGCUUUUCUUUAAUGCACUUUUCAGUUAACAAGUCAACAUCAAUUUCUUUUGCUGUAAAAAAGCUUGAGGAAGGUGGCUUGAGAUUCGUCUUAAGUGUUUAUAGCCUCUUGCCUAUGCAGUCGGAGAGAUUGAGGUCUGCAGCGUAGAUCCUUCGGGGCUAAAUGCAUUUGUGCUAAGUUAUAGCAUUUUAUAGACAACUUGUUGACUAUGAUUUGUCUUGUAGCUUACUCGCUUAUGUUAUUUUACCUACGCUUAGGAUGUUGAUAUGCAUGACUGAUA
rnacentral:rRNA from 1 species